rnacentral:misc_RNA from 1 species
GCAAACUUGGUCAUUUAGAGGAAGUAAAAGUCGUAACAAGGUUUCCGUAGGUGAACCUGCGGAAGGAUCAUUAGUGAAAUAACCUGGGACUUUAUGUCCCAAACCUUCUCACAUCCACACACCUUUGUGCACUGUUGGACGGCUCUUUAAUUAUUUUUAGAGGUGCCGUCCUAUUAUUUUACAAACAUUUAAUGCAUGUAAGGAACGUAUUAUUCAAUGCUCUAGCAGCACUGAAAUAAAUAAAUUAAAAUUAAACAAAACUUUCAACAACGGAUCUCUUGGCUCUCACAUCGAUGAAGAACGCAGC